rnacentral:miRNA from 1 species
CGAUGAUGAAGCUUUCGAAUCGAC